AUUGAACGCUGGCGGCAGGCUUAACACAUGCAAGUCGAGCGGGGUGAUGGUGCUUGCACUAUCACUUAGCGGCGGACGGGUGAGUAAUGCUUAGGAAUCUGCCUAUUAGCGGGGGACAACAUCUCGAAAGGGAUGCUAAUACCGCAUACGUCCUACGGGAGAAAGCAGGGGAUCACUUGUGACCUUGCGCUAAUAGAUGAGCCUAAGUCGGAUUAGCUAGUUGGUGGGGUAAAGGCCUACCAAGGCGACGAUCUGUAGCGGGUCUGAGAGGAUGAUCCGCAACACUGGGACUGAGACACGGCCCAGACUCCUACGGGAGGCAGCAGUGGGGAAUAUUGGACAAUGGGGGGAACCCUGAUCCAGCCAUGCCGCGUGUGUGAAGAAGGCCUUAUGGUUGUAAAGCACUUUAAGCGAGGAGGAGGCUCUUUUGGUUAAUACCCAAGAUGAGUGGACGUUACUCGCAGAAUAAGCACCGGCUAACUCUGUGCCAGCCGCCGCGGUAA
rnacentral:rRNA from 1 species